AACGAACGCUGGCGGCAUGCCUAACACAUGCAAGUCGAACGUGAUCCGGGGCUUCGGCUCCGGUGAAAGUGGCGGACGGGUGAGUAACGCGUGGGAACCUGCCCAGUGGUAGGGAUAACCGCGGGAAACUGCGGCUAAUACCCUAUGCGCCCUAUGGGGCAAAGAUUUAUCGCCAUUGGAGGGGCCCGCGUUGGAUUAGGUAGUUGGUGAGGUAACGGCUCACCAAGCCUUCGAUCCGUAGCUGGCUGAGAGGAUGAUCAGCCACACCUGGGACUGAGACACGGCCCACGACUCCUACGGGAGGCAGCAGUGGGGAAUC
rnacentral:rRNA from 1 species